CUAUAAGCUGAAGCCCAGUUAAUUUGGGGGAAAGAUUCCUGCCUUCAUGGGAAAUCUGUACAAACUCCUGGUCUGAGAUAGAAAUUGAACCAGUAUCCAGCUCCUUCCUUGCUAAGGCUGCCUAAGACCUAUCUGCCUAUGCUAUCUGCCUGCAUCUGACCUCCUGUUAACUAGGUCUCUUAGUGCCUGGGGGCUUGUCAUCCUGGAACACUUGUGCACUCUUCUGGACCCCUCUCCUACUGGCAAUCAACAAACAUUUAUUAAGUGCCUGCUGUGUCCCAGGAAUUACACUACAAAUUUCAAGGAGCUUCCAUUCUAAUGGGGGAGACAACCAGGACACACAUGAGCAUACGUAAAAGAGAGAAGCAUGAAAAUGCUAUAUUAGCCAAUAUAGAAUGGACUCCAAACAAAAAAAUAAACCUGACGCUUUUCUGGGAGUCGAGGAAAUGAGCACCCAAAGGACAAGGGGCUGAUGGAUUCAAGAUACUGGAGAAUUGGACUGGAGAGUUGACCUAUAUGGUAAAGAUUGGAAAGAGAGAGGGGUAAAACUAGAGCUGGCAGGAUGGCCUGAGAAAGGUCUGAGGGUAGGGGGAUUGGGGUCAUGAUGAAUUUAGGAUAGGUCUAGGAAGCUGAGAAAAGGCAGAGAUGGAGUGGUGGGAGGUUCUGUUUUUGUUUUGUUUUUUUCCUUUUUGGUGAGGCAAUC